rnacentral:rRNA from 1 species
UAAAAAGCUACUAAGAGCACAUAAUGAAUGCCUUGGCGCUGAAUGGCUAUGAAAGACGUGGCAAACUGCGAUAAGCCUCGGGGAGUGGUAAGCACACUUUGAUCCGGGGAUUUCUGAAUGGGGUAACCCAGCCCGAGUUAUGUCGGGCUAUGCUGGAGUGAAUUCAUAGCUCCGGUCAUGCGACACCUGCUGAAGUGAAACAUCUCAGUAAGCAGAGGAAUAGAAAAUGACAAUGAUUCCGUAAGUAGUGGCGAGCGAAAGCGGAAAAGCCCAAACCUGGGAGCUUGCUCCUGGGGGUUGUAGGGCCUCAACGUGGACUUGGUUGUGUUAGAUGAAGCGGAUGGAAAGUCGCCCCAUAGAAGGUGAGAGGCCUUUAAUCGAAAACACGACCAUACCUAGAGGUACCCUGAGUAACACGAUGCACGUGAAACUUCGUGUGAAUCUGUGCCGACCACGGCAUAAGGCUAAAUACAAGUCAGCGACCGAUAGUGAACCAGUACCGUGAGGGAAAGGUGAAAAGAACCGCUGUGAGCGGAGUGAAAUAGAACCUGCAAUUAUGUGCUUACAAGGUGUUAGAGCCCGCAAGGGUGAUAGCGUGCCUUUUGCUUAAUGAGUCUGCGAGUUACUGUCCGUGGCGAGUCAAAGCUCCUUUGGAGUGAAGGCGAAGCGAAAGCGAGUCCGAAAUGGGCGACCAUAGCCGCUGGCAGUAGACCCGAAGGGGAGGUGAUCUACGCAUGGUCAGGCUGAAGUUUCCUUAACCGGAAAUGAAGGGCCGAACACGUGAAGGUUGAAAACUUCUGUGAUGAACUGUGUGUAGGAGCGAAAGACUAAUCAAACCCCCUGAUAGCUGGUUCUCCCCGAAAUAGCUUGAGGGCUAGCCUCGUGUGCUGACUUGCGCGGGUAGAGCACUGGAUGGACUAGGGUCCACACCCGGAUACCGAAUCCAAUCAAACUCCGAAUAGCGCAGGGUGAAACACGGGAGUCAGACAGCGAGGGAUAAGCUUCGUUGUCGAGAGGAAAACAAUCCAGAUCGUCAGCUAAGGUGCCCAAAUAGUGCUAAGUGGAAAGGAUGUUAAGUUUCUAAAACAGUGAGGAUGUUGGCUUAGAGGCAGCCAUCAUUUAAACAGUGCGUAAUAGCUGACUCAUCGAGAAACUUAGCGCCGAAAAUGAUUGGCGAUUAAGCACUAUACCGAAGCUACGGAUACGCCAGGAUUUCGAUCCUGGCGCAUGGUAGGGGAGCGUUCUAAGGGCUGUGAAGCAGGAGGGAAACCAACUGUGGAGCGCUUAGAAGUGAGGAUGCAGACAUGAGUAGCGAUAAGACAGGUUGAAUUCCUGUCCGCCGUAAACCCAAGGUUUCCUGGGGAAGGUUCGUCCUCCCAGGGUUAGCCGGGAACUAAGUCGAGGCCGUAAGGCGUAGGCGAUGUCAAGCUGGUUUAAUAUUCCAGCGCCACCGACAUUUAAGUAGGAGGGACGCAUGUGCGGAGAUGAGCGAGGUGUUGAAUGUCCUUGUGCCGCAAGGUGACCCAAGGGAGCAAUCCUGAGGGGAUUCAUUAAAGCAUGUGCCAAGAAAAGCUCCUAUGUAUACUAAGGUGCCCGUACCGUAAACCGACACAGGUGGGUGGGUCGAAUAGACUAAGGCGCGUGAGUGAAACCUCUUUAAGGAACUCGGCAAAUUAACCCCGUAACUUAGGAAGAAGGGGUGCCCUCGAAAGGGGGCCGCAGUUAAUCGCGUCAACCGACUGUUUAACAAAAACACAGCUCUCUGCCAAGUCGCAAGACGACGUAUAGGGAGUGACACGUGACCAAUGCUGGAAGAUUACGGUAAGAGGUUAGCCGCAAGGCGAAGCUUUGAGCCCAAGUCCCAGUGAAUGUCGGCCGUAACUAUAACGGUCCUAAGGUAGCGAAAUUCCUUGUCGGGUAAGUUCCGACCUGCACGAAUCGUGUAACGAGUUGACGACUGUCUCAAAGAGGAGCUCAGCGAAGUUGUAAUGGCGGUGAAGAUGCCGCCUUCCUGCAGUAGGACGGAAAGACCCCGUGCACCUUUACUGUAAGCUGUUACUGGAUUUUUAUGUGGAAUACUUAGCGUAAGUGGAAGGCUUUGAAGUGAUCCUUGCGGGGAUCAUGGAGCCGACAAUGAAACACCACCUUUUCUUCAUGAGAAUUCUAACCCCUAUUGCCCUGAAUCGGGCGGGGGGACAAUGGCAGCGGGUCAGUUUGACUGGGGCGGUUUCCUCCAAAAGAGUAACGGAGGAGUUCGAAGGUUCCCUCAGCAUGGUUGGUAAUCAUGCGCCGAGCACAUGGGUAGAAGGGAGCUUAACUGCGAGACCAACAAGUCGAGCAGAUACGAAAGUAGGACCAAGUGAUCCGGUGGUAGAAAGUGGAAUUGCCAUCGCUCAACGGACAAAAGGUACGCCGGGGAUAACAGGCUGAUCGCGCCCAAGCGUUCAUAGCGACGGCGCGGUUUGGCACCUCGAUGUCGGCUCAUCGCAUCCUGGGGCUGGAGAAGGUCCCAAGGGUCCGGCUGUUCGCCGGUUAAAGCGGUACGCGAGCUGGGUUCAGAACGUCGUGAGACAGUUCGGUCCUUAUCCACUGUGGGCGCAGGAGAUUUGAGGGGUUCAUUCCUUAGUACGAGAGGACCGGGAAUGACGAGCCUCUGGUGUUCCGGUUGUGACGUCAGUCGCAGCGCCGGGUAGCUAUGCUCGGAAAGGAUAAGCGCUGAAAGCAUCUAAGCGCCAAGCCUAUCCCAAGAUGAGAUCUCCCCAUUAAGAUCGAGGUAGACCACCUCGUUGAUAGGUCGCGCGUGUACGCACAGUAAUGUGUUUAGCGGAGCGAUACUAAUUAUCUGAUUGGCUUUAUUUU